GAGUCUUAAGUGUGGGCAAACGAUGCAAACAAGAGGAGAAAGGUGAACAUUGUCAUGAAUUAUGUUUCUAUUGAGCAUGAAAAUAUUGUCAUUAUAAUCUUUCAUGAUGUAAAGGAAUGGCAAAACAGCUUCACAAAGUGGCCACUAUUGAUUGAUUUACUGACUUAGGUCUUCCAACAUCACAAAAAAACUUGAACUAAGUGUUGAAACUGAGCAUCAAAAUAAUGAAUCAACAUAAAAAAAAAAGAGAUUAUAGCAAUUACCAAAAAGAUGAAAGAUGAAGCCAUAAUUCAUUAAGCCUACCUUUCUCAGAAUACAGACAUUACUAAAUAUGUGGACAAAUAAUAUAAAUAAAAGUUAAUGAUGCAUAUGCUGUACACAUUCAAAGACAUAUAUUUACAUAGCCUAAAUUGUAUGUACAUACCCACAGGCUAACAGCAAAAACUGGUAGCCUAUAUAGCAUUAUAUCAACAGUGUAAACAAACUAGUCCUACUAGUGUAAUAGUGUACAAUCAAUUCAUAGCCCAAUAACACGCUGCUUUUUGGGCCAUGAAUGGACAACAACUUCUGUUCACAAGCACUCAAGCAUUAAACAUGCCACAGUAAUAUACAAGACACACAACCCUCUAAAUAGAUCUACACCAUGGACCCUUUUCACUGUAAUGCAGGUGAACAUUUAGUGCGUGUAAGAACCCAUUUUCACUCUUAUUGUGUUGAAUUCCAGGAAAUUAAAUUAAAGUUUAAUCAAACUGUUGAAAUUUUUCUGACAUCUUCAGUAAAUGUUUUUGUCUCCACCCAGGAAAAUCGAAUUUUGGCGUGUACAAGUGAACACGCCAAAAUUCGAUUUUCGUUCGAACGGGUAAGUGACGCGAUGAGUUCGGUUUAAACCACAGCGUUCGAAAAACUUUCGUACACUGUAGUGAAACUAGCGUAGCGGUUUUCGAACACUGUGGGUAUGCGCCUAAAUAGAAUUCGGUAUCGACCAGCUACGUUUUUGAAGACAGUUACAACCGUUACAACAUUUUCAGAAGAGUCUACAACACAUUUUGAGGAUCCACUUUUUUUUUUAGGAUAACAGCCUAACAGCACUGGGGCUAAAACGAAAUCGACGCCAUUAUUGUGGAUGUAGCCUUAAUUUCAGAACCAAAUCUGGAGGAAUGCGGGGAAACAGACUUCCAACUAAAAUAUUCGGCCCCAACAAAAGCUGAAGUUUACUACGACACAGCGAAAGCAGGACGGAUGGUAGGACUUCCCACGAGCCUGCAGGACCUGACGGGGCACAAAUCAGAUCUUCUUUACACAGUCUGGUACACACUUCAGGGGAUGGAUGAACUCCAGAGUACUACG